rnacentral:rRNA from 1 species
AGCAGCCGCGGUAAUUCCAGCUCCAAUAGCGUAUAUUAAAGUUGUUGCAGUUAAAAAAGCUCGUAGUUGAAUUUCGGGAUCAAUACGUCGGUCGUGCUUCGGUACGUACUGGCGUAAUUGAUUUCUCCCUUCUGACGAACCAUGAUGUCAUUAACUUGGUGUCAUGGGAAAUCAGGACUGUUACUUUGAAAAAAUUAGAGUGUUUAAAGCAAGCUAACGCUUGAAUACAUUAGCAUGGAAUAAUGAAAUAGGACGUUCGAUCCUACUUUGUUGGUUUCUAGGAUUGACGUAAUGAUUAAUAGGGAUAGUUGGGGGCAUUAGUAUUCAAUUGUCAGAGGUGAAAUUCUUGGAUUUUAUUGAAGACUAACUACUGCGAAAAGCAUUUGCCAAGGAUGUUUUCAUUAAUCAAGAACGAAAGCUAGGGGAUCGAAGACGAUCAGAUACCGUCGUAGUCUUAACCAUAAACUAUGCCGACUAGGGAUCGGAUGAUGUUAAUUUUUAAUGUACUCAUUCGGCGUAC